rnacentral:rRNA from 1 species
AAUGCAUAGGAAACUGCCCAGUAGUGGGGGAUAGCCCGGGGAAACCCGGAUUAAUACCGCAUACGCCCUUCGGGGGAAAGCAGGGGAUCUUCGGACCUUGCGCUAUUGGAUGUGCCUAUGUCGGAUUAGCUAGUUGGUGGGGUAAGAGCCUACCAAGGCGACGAUCCGUAGCUGGUCUGAGAGGAUGAUCAGCCACAUCGGGACUGAGACACGGCCCGAACUCCUACGGGAGGCAGCAGUGGGGAAUAUUGGACAAUGGGGGCAACCCUGAUCCAGCCAUGCCGCGUGUGUGAAGAAGGCUUUCGGGUUGUAAAGCACUUUCAGUGAGGAGGAAAACCUUACGACUAAUACUCGUGAGGCUUGACGUUACUCACAGAAGAAGCACCGGCUAACUCCGUGCCAGCAGCCGCGGUAAUACGGAGGGUGCAAGCGUUAAUCGGAAUUACUGGGCGUAAAGCGCGCGUAGGUGGUUUGAUAAGCGAGAUGUGAAAGCCCCGGGCUCAACCUGGGAA